GAUGAACGCUGGCGGCGUGCCUAAUACAUGCAAGUAGAACGCUGAAGGAAGGAGCUUGCUCUUUCCGGAUGAGUUGCGAACGGGUGAGUAACGCGUAGGUAACCUGCCUGGUAGCGGGGGAUAACUAUUGGAAACGAUAGCUAAUACCGCAUAACAGUAGAUGUUGCAUGAUAUCUACUUAAAAGGUGCAAUUGCACCACUACCAGAUGGACCUGCGUUGUAUUAGCUAGUUGGCGAGGUAACGGCUCACCAAGGCGACGAUACAUAGCCGACCUGAGAGGGUGAUCGGCCACACUGGGACUGAGACACGGCCCAGACUCCUACGGGAGGCAGCAGUAGGGAAUCUUCGGCAAUAGACGGAAGUCUGACCGAGCAACGCCGCGUGAGUGAAGAAGGUUUUCGGAUCGUAAAGCUCUGUUGUAAGAGAAGAACGAGUGUGAGAGUGGAAAGUUCACACUGUGACGGUAUCUUACCAGAAAGGGACGGCUAACUACGUG
rnacentral:rRNA from 1 species